rnacentral:rRNA from 1 species
CUACGGGUCGCACCAGUGAGGAAUAUUGCACAAUGGGGGAAACCCUGAUGCAGCAACGCCGCGUGGAGGAUGACGCAUUUCGGUGUGUAAACUCCUUUUAUCAGAGAAGAAAAUGACGGUAUCUGGUGAAUAAGCUCCGGCUAACUCCGUGCCAGCAGCCGCGGUAAUACGGAGGGAGCAAGCGUUAUUCGGAAUCACUGGGCGUAAAGGACGCGUAGGCGGGUUUUUAAGUCAGGUGUGAAAUCCUAUGGCUCAACCAUAGAACUGCACUUGAAACUGGGGACCUAGAGUAUGGAAGGGGCAGGUGGAAUUAGUGGUGUAGGGGUAAAAUCCGUAGAUAUCACUAGGAAUACCGAAAGCGAAGGCGACCUGCUGGGACAUUACUGACGCUGAGGCGUGAAAGCGUGGGGAGCAAACAGGAUUAGAUACCCCGGUAGUC